rnacentral:rRNA from 1 species
UAACACGUAGGAACAUACCCAAACUGAGGAUAAGCACCAGAAAUGGUGUCUAAUACCGCAUGUGCUCUUCGGAGUAAAGCUUCGGCGGUUUGGGAAUGGCCUGCGCAUGAUUAGCUUGUUGGUGAGGUAAUGGCUCACCAAGGCGACGAUCAUUAGCUGGUCUGAGAGGAUGAUCAGCCAGACUGGGACUGAGACACGGCCCAG